rnacentral:rRNA from 1 species
ACGAACGCUGGCGGCGUGCUUAACCCCUGCCAGUCGCACGGAAAGGCCCUGCUUUUGUGGGGUGCUCGCGUGGCGAACGGGUGAGUAACACGUGAGUAACCUGCCCUUGACUUUGGGAUAACUUCAGGAAACUGGGGCUAAUACCGGAUAGGAGCUCCUGCUGCAUGGUGGGGGUUGGAAAGUUUCGGCGGUUGGGGAUGGACUCGCGGCUUAUCAGCUUGUUGGUGGGGUAGUGGCUUACCAAGGCUUUGACGGGUAGCCGGCCUGAGAGGGUGACCGGCCACAUUGGGACUGAGAUACGGCCCAGACUCCUACGGGAGGCAGCAGUGGGGAAUAUUGCACAAUGGGCGGAAGCCUGAUGCAGCAACGCCGCGUGCGGGAUGACGGCCUUCGGGUUGUAAACCGCUUUCGCCUGUGACGAAGCGUGAGUGACGGUAAUGGGUAAAGAAGCACCGGCUAACUACGUG